CUCGCGCUGAGAAAAAUGUCUGCGUGGAGUCUCCAGUGGCUAAGCCGACUUGUCCCCUAGAGCCCGGUCCGUCUCCAAUUCAAGAGAGCGCUGGGCUUAAAAUCACGGGGAAUUUAAAACGAACCGGAUUGUCCACUUUUACUGUGGAGUCAUCCCAGCCACAGCUCGUGUCACGAAAGGGGCGAGAAGCGCGACAGCCGAGCUAAGGUGGUGGGGGGGCUGCGAGCGUCUCACAAAUUGUCGCCUCCUUGUGUCUGUCCGCAGUCACCAUCGUGGGCACCUUCGAGGGCUACUUCCUGCAAGCGCGAAUACCCGACACCACGACCAUCGUGGGCACAUGGGACACCCCACCUGCAGACAACAUCUUCGUGCCGUGCAAUUCCGUGCCAAAGGCCGCGGUGACGCACUCCACCAGCACCUCCAAGACGAACCUGAGCUUGUUUUGGAUCCCGCCGACUACAAACCCUCCCAGCUCCGUAGUGUUUGUAGCGACCGUGGUCAAGACGGAACCCGAAUGGCAAAUGAACGUGCAGUCGGUAAAGGUCAAUGCCUCAGGUUAUGUAGCCACAACCAAGCCACCAGCUAAUUCCACAAUCAAUCCAACAACUAAGACCUCAACCAAGCCAGGCAACUCUGCCGGGCGCGCGGCCCUCGCCAUGUCUGGGCUCUCCCUGGGCGCGCUGCUCGUCGUCGUCACAGCCGCGUGCUGUCGUUGAUUCCACCGGCGAAGUCACGGAGUUCCUUGAGUGCGUGCAACG